rnacentral:rRNA from 1 species
CGUACAUGCGGGAGGCAGCAGUGGGGAAUAUUGCACAAUGGGCGCAAGCCUGAUGCAGCCAUGCCGCGUGUAUGAAGAAGGCCUUCGGGUUGUAAAGUACUUUCAGCGGGGAGGAAGGCGAUAAGGUUAAUAACCUUGUCGAUUGACGUUACCCGCAGAAGAAGCACCGGCUAACUCCGUGCCAGCAGCCGCGGUAAUACGGAGGGUGCAAGCGUUAAUCGGAAUUACUGGGCGUAAAGCGCACGCAGGCGGUCUGUCAAGUCGGAUGUGAAAUCCCCGGGCUCAACCUGGGAACUGCAUUCGAAACUGGCAGGCUAGAGUCUUGUAGAGGGGGGUAGAAUUCCAGGUGUAGCGGUGAAAUGCGUAGAGAUCUGGAGGAAUACCGGUGGCGAAGGCGGCCCCCUGGACAAAGACUGACGCUCAGGUGCGAAAGCGUGGGGAGCAAACAGGAUUAGAUACCCCAGUAGUCCCAUGA